GCCGCUUUUAGCUCAGCCGGUAGAGCACCUCAUUCGUAAUGAGGGGGUCAGGUGUUCGAGUCACCUAAGCGGCACCA
rnacentral:tRNA from 1 species